CACCCGCCCUCCUCAGCAGGGCUUCGCGAGCUCGGUGGGCCUCCGCCUCUCCGCGCCUCGCCCCCUUCCCGUCCGCCGUCCUGGCGCCUCCCCGAGCAGCGGCGCGGAAAGGCGCGGGGGACACCCGCUGGGCGGCGACAGCUCGUGCCCGACAUGUGCCAGUGUUGCCACUGCUGGUGCUGGGCUGAGGCCUUCGCGUCUCGGCUCCUGCGGUUGGGGGAGACUCUCGGCUGUCAUUGAAGUGUCCGUUCCGGCCCCCCCGGCUGGAGAGAACAGUGCAGACCUGACGCACGUGCACCCGAAAGGCUCCAGCGUAGAACCCAAGGCAAAGGAGGGCAGCCCUUGUCGAGUUUUACUCGCCUUUAGAAGCUACUGUAAUGAUUUGAGAGGGGGCAGGAUUCAUGCUAUCUGAAUGACUGCCGUUCAGUUCUGCAGGAAGGAAGGGAUCUAUGCGCCUCUCUUUCCUGUACCUGGCUUUAAAGAAGCUAAGUAGAAAAUACAGGUUUUUUGGGGUGGGGGCAAUUAAAAUUGUUGACACUAUGACUAGCUGUAGAUGGAUCCGUUUGAAUAUAAACACACCUGGCUACAUAAAGGGAGCAUACACCCCAUCUAUAUUAUGCCCACUAAGAAAAGUAAAAACGGCAGUGAAUUUCUUGAUGAGGAGAGUGUUGGGGAAAAUUAUUCCCACUUCAUAUAACAGUACUUUCCAGUAAAAAUUCAGAGUUCUGGAUAGUCUGACCUAUUUUGCUAAUCCUCUGCACUGCCAUGCUGAAGUUUCCUAGAUUGUGUCCUACCUUGAUUUCUUACUCCCUAUACCAGCAGAAGCUAUGAUUUCAUUAAAAAAAUUGAAUAAUUAAUCAAUUACUUUUUCAUUUAGUACCACAACAGCUUGAGAAAACUUAGUGAUACAGUGAUAUCACUUAGUGAUACAGUCUUUCAGCAUUGACACAAGGAUGAGGGAAAUACCUCUGAAAAAAUGUCUACAAAGAGUCAAGGACUAAACAGUAUGCAAAUCCAUCAACUAGUUAUCAACACAAACACAGCCUGUUUGCAGACCUGGAUUUAUCCAGUGCCAUUUUGGAGCUUGUAGAGAAGAAAGGACCAGAAAGAAAACAUGGUCAGACAGGCAGCUGCUGAAUUAGCUAAGAGAAACAAAGUGGAGAUACUACAAAAAGGACAGGUUCUAAACCCACAGGACCCCAUCCAAGGACUAUUAGAAUAAGAAUAAAGAAAAAUUUGUAUCAAGAAGGAAAAACAAAUUAAAUUGUCUCCUAACCUGGGGAAAAUGGGUGCACAAAACAUAAACUUUGCAUCAAAAUUAUUGCUACAGAUUUUCAGAAGUUUAGCUGUUUUUAAUGGGAGGGAAUUUAUUUUGAUUUGUGUGUAAUAUUGUACUGUAUUCCUAUGCUGUAUAUCACAUGUAUAUUUGGCCUGGUUUCCCAAAUUUGUUCAGUGUAAGUUAGUUCAUUCUUUCAUUGUAGUUUUAGGAAAGCUAAAAGUAGUAUUUUGUCAAUACAGGGGAAACUUAAACUGACCAUCUUUUCCUUCCAUUAAUGCCAGAAGGAGUUAGUUAUGUAAAUUCCCGAUUAUUAGUGGGAGAAUUCAAACUGUUAAGCCUUAGCCAUAUCAGGUUUUCAACUAACAACUCAAACGCCUAGAAUAGAUGCUGUUUGCACCAGUGCAGAACAAUUUGCACUCAUGGAAUUUACCCUAGGGUACGUUGUAUUGCACAAAUCAUGUUGCAUCAGUGUAAACCAGUUCUGUGUUAGGAGUUUGCACUGGUGCAGCUACAUCAGUGGAAGAAAUGCCAGUAUAAAUUUUACUGAACGCAGACCUGGGGAAUAUCUAUACUAAUCUUCUUUUCUGCAGCGUUCUUAUGUUUCUAUAAGUGUAUCGUCCUAUAUGCAGCAUAUAUGUUCAGAUGUGCUGAACAGCCUUGUGUCAAUUUUAUGGAUGCUGCAUGUGAAGCAUAUUAUCCAAGCGUAAAUAUUUUGGUGCAAGUAUGUAUUUACUAAUACAGGAAAACAGGUGAAUGAGAAAGUAAACAGCACUCAGUAAUAAAAAUAAAUAUAUACAAAAACAUAUUCUUCACUAACCUGCCAAUAGGUCAAAGGGCCAAAGAAAGUUCUCCCAUUGUCAAUUUAGGGCCAGAUUCUAAUACCCUUAAACAUAAGUAGUACCUUAAUAGGCAACUCGUCCCACUGAAGUCAGUGCUAUUACUUUUGGAGUAAGGUACUAAAUGUAUGACAAAACAGACUGUGGCAUUAUAAAAUUCCUUCCCAUUUUCUAAUCAGAGACCAAAGCCUUGAAGAAGGAGAUCUUUAUUUGAAGAGGCCAUAGUUUCAUCUCCUUCAAAGCCUGGCCCCAUACUAACAUUCACUAUGGAAGAAAUAUACACUUGAAAAUGUAUUUAAUUAAAACAUUAUCUUCUCUUUAACCCCUUUAGCUGAUAUCACUUUGAGUCCCAAGCAUUUAUAGUAUCCAACAAAAUGAAGUAAUUACAGGUAUUUGAGUGAGAUGCAAAGAGAGUUCAUUGAAAAUAUCCUGGAAGGUGGAUAGUGACAAUAAAACAGAAGACACUAAAGUAGAAUUGCCAUCUUUGGAAAAUCUUAUGUCCACAUACGACGCAUCAUAAACUGUGGUUCCGGUUCGAAGAAAAGAGAGUCUACUUAUACUGGGCUGCAUCACAUCAGAGGAUCAGGAUUUAUGGUCUUAAUCCUACAGUGUUUUGCACUGGCAUAGCUUUGCAAUGUCCCAUUGAAGUAAAUGGGACACCAUACUGACACAAGGAACUGAGCAAGCUGAUC